rnacentral:rRNA from 1 species
GACGAACGCUGGCGGCGUGCCUAAUACAUGCAAGUCGAACGCAGUGGGGACGGGUGAGUAACACGUGGGUAACCUCCCAUCAGAGGGGAUAACACUUGGCUACAGGUGCUAAACCGAUACUGAUGGAUGAACCCGCGGUGCAUUAGCUAGUUGGUGAGGUAACGGCGCACCAAGGCCACGAUGGAUAGGCGACCUGAGAGGGUGAAUGGCCAAACUGGGACUGGGAAACGGCCCAGACGCCUAAGGGAGGGAGCAGGAGGGAAACAUCGGCAAUGGACGAAAGUCUGGCCGAGCAACGGCGCGUGAGUGAAGAAGGGUUUCGGAUCGUAAAGCUCUGUUGUUAGAGGAGCGGUAACUAACCAGAAAGGGACGGCUAACUCCGUGACAGCAGCCGCGGUAAUAC